GCACCCAACGCAACCCAAUCCUCUUGUCCCGCACGCCGUGCACACUCCGGUCCCCUCAUCCUGCAUGAAACCUAGGAGAGAGAGAUAGGAAGAUGGGAGGGAGAGAAAGGGGAGAGGAGAGGAGAGGGAGGUCCGGCAGCGGACGGGAGAGGGUGACCGGCCAGCGUCGGCCUACACCGGCGAGGCGUCGGCCUGCGCCCCUCCUCGCGCACGAACCCUAGCUGAGAGACAAAAUGAGGGGGAGAGAGAGAAGGAAGGAGAGGAGGGAGAAAGAGAGAGGAAAGAGGAAAGGGAGGUGCGGCGGCUGACAGGAGAGAGGGUCAUCGGCCGGCGCCGGAGAGGACGGUCCCGACCUGGACGCGACUUGGGAGGUUGGCGCCCUUUGUCCUUCCCCUCUAUCCCCACGAGCCGCCGCGCCCCUCCCUCUCCCCCUCAUCCUCUCACCGCAGCCGCCGGCCUUCUCUCCACUCGCCUCCUCCUCUCCUCUAUCACGUUGUCGUCGAUCCACCGCCGGCAUUCUCCUCAGCUUGCCUAGGUCAUCGUCAUGGGAGAGCAGCGACGGCGGUGUCUUCGCGGUGCGGAUGGGGAUGUAGGGGAGGGGUGGGGAUGUACGGGAAGGAGGAAGCCGGUGAGGAAGGCAAGCAACAGCGGGGAAUGAGCUAGGUGAGCGAUCCUAGCGGGUGGGAAGGGGCAGGUUGAGGCCUCGCGCACCUGCCAGCGGCAGGCAGGUCGAAUUGUCGCGCCACCGCGUCGUCGCCUCCUCUGCACCAUGAGGUGCCACCUCUGCCUCCACCCCCCACCGGGCAAGGAGCUCGAGGUGAAUAGGCGGUGGGAAGGUGAGAGGAAGCAGGAGCUCAUCUCUCCUCCAAUGGCUGCCUCGUGCAUCUGGAGGACAACACGUGCUUGUUGGAGGCGACUCGAGCGAUGCAGGUCAGCGGCGAACUAGAUCUGACAUAGAAGACCACAUUCCUCAUAUUCAAAAGUGAUCUUCUUCCAAUGGCUCUAAUGCAAAGAGGAGGAGUCACAUACAUGCGCACCUGCCAGCGGCAGGCAGGUCGAAUUGUCGCGCCACCGCGUCGUCGCCUCCUCUGCACCAUGAGGUGCCACCUCUGCCUCCACCCCCCACCGGGCAAGGAGCUCGAGGUGAAUAGGCGGUGGGAAGGUGAGAGGAAGCAGGAGCUCAUCUCUCCUCCAAUGGCUGCCUCGUGCAUCUGGAGGACAACACGUGCUUGUUGGAGGCGACUCGAGCGAUGCAGGUCAGUGGCGAACUAGAUCUGACAUAGAAGACCACGUUCCUCAUAUUCAAAAGUGAUCUUCUUCCAAUGGCUCUAAUGCAAAGAGGAGGAGUCACAUACAUGCGCACCUGCCAGCGGCAGGCAGGUCGAAUUGUCGCGCCACCGCGUCGUCGCCUCCUCUGCACCAUGAGGUGCCACCUCUGCCUCCACCCCCCACCGGGCAAGGAGCUCGAGGUGAAUAGGCGGUGGGAAGGUGAGAGGAAGCAGGAGCUCAUCUCUCCUCCAAUGGCUGCCUCGUGCAUCUGGAGGACAACACGUGCUUGUUGGAGGCGACUCGAGCGAUGCAGGUCAGCGGCGAACUAGAUCUGACAUAGAAGACCACGUUCCUCAUAUUCAAAAGUGAUCUUCUUCCAAUGGCUCUAAUGGUAAUUUAUAACCUCUUUUGAUGUACCGCAGUUGUGUCAAGUUUGCUGACAUCCUCGUGCUGCAACUGGCUUGGUAUAUUUGGUUAAUCGUAACAAGCAAAGAGGAGGAGUCUCAUACAUGCCUGCUAUUCUUUAUGUGGUUGUAUGAAGUGUUCCUUCAACUAAUCAAGCAACCUGGCAUUAGUAGUUUGUUUAAUUAAUAUCACUCUCAUCAGAGAGUAUGAUAUCAUUUAGCUAGCCUCCUUUCUUUGGAAGAGGGAUAGUGUAAAGGUUAGAAAUGGGUAACGGAAUGAGUGUUCUCAUUUUUACUGCCCCUGGAUUUAGGGAAUAUAUAUGCGUAUAUAUUGAUGCUCAUCGUUGCCAUGUCUGGCUCUUCAGGUGCAUGCUAGCUAGAAGUUCAGAUUUGUAAUCAACGAGUGUAAAAUUGAUUGUCUCUGGUUACUCUCGUGAUCUGUAUCUAGAGGGCAAGUCAGGUCUUGGAAUGCUGAGGUGAGACUUUCCAUGGCCUCUGUUUUUCUUGAUGGGUGGAUUACACGUUACUUCCUUGGAUGUUUAAAGAUUAUUAUAUCAUUGCUCCCCUUUUUAUCGGCAAGCAUUCUCUCAUCUUCUGGUAACUUGAGUAAGAUGCAACACACUAAUGCUUUCUUAGUCUGGUUUGUUCUUGCAAAAAAUAAUUGAAGUGUGCAGACAGGCAGCAUGGAAACACUAAAGAGAAGUUUCAUACGUACUAAUAGCUGGAGUGAUUUGAUACCUGUAGUAACCGUCUUAGAAUAAAUAAGAUUCAGCUAUUUCUAAAGAUAUUAGACCAUAAGAUUAUUCUUAAGUAAAGAUGUUUCAUGCUUCUGUUUCUGCAAAAUUUCUAAGAGUAUAUGAUUUCAUUUUCCUUCUUUCCCAGUUAUAAAUUUAUUGGCAUCAAAGUAGAGCUUCAGGUUUAUGGUUCAGUAUAUCAUUGCAAAGUAGUUUAUGGCUCAGUAUAUCACUACAGGUUCCUUACACCGUCAAAUUUCAAUGUUUUUGUAUUUUUGUCGAUGGAACCAUGUUCUUUGACUAUAAAGUAGCAGAGAUUUCUUUUCUAUCAAUUCUAAUCCCUUUUUAUGCAUUGCUGGUUUGCUAUCAAACUCUCAAAAAUGGAAAAACAACUUUACUUUGGUUUUUUGAGAACCUUCCUGUAGAGUACCUCGACAGAGACAAAUAUGCGGUCAAGGAUAUAUUUUUCAUGCCAAACUUGGAGGAUAUUUUUGCAGAUAGUUUGGUACUCUCGUGGUUAUUUUUGUGGUGAUUUGCCUUCUAUUCAUUACUUGGUAACCAUCUACUGCAGCUCAGCUAUUGUCCAGCUGCUAACCUUAUGGUGAGUGGUUGAUGGUGCAUGUUUUCCUAUUAGUUUCUCUCUAUGCCAAUGUCUGAAUUUUAUCUUGCCGUUUUGCAUUUCUACAGGCCUUUCAUUCUCAUUGUGAUUCCCCGAGAUGCGCUAUUAGUAGGCAUCCGCUUUCUAAUAAAAAUUUGGAAGUCAACUUGAAAAGAGUCAUUUAUCUAGCUACAGCAACCUUCCUUGCUUUUGCAAAUAAUACUUUAUGGUUGACAAUAUAGUCUACACCUGCCAAACAUUUACACGUUAGUAUAACCAGAAAGUCAGAUGAUCGUUCCAUGUUGGUUAGCCGUGAUAAAUCAAAUUUCUAGAGUAGCAGAUGAUUCGUGUCAGGUUUCUUUUAGAGAUUGAAAUAUGUCUUGACUCCGAAAUAAGUAGUACAACGUCCAGUUCUGCAUAGGUGAAAGCAUACUGUGCAAAACCGGACAGCCUUCUAAAGCUCUGAAACUACUAUUUGUUUUUGUUUUUUGCGGUUAACUACUACUUGUUGUGUGAUCAGUACCCCCUUUUUAUACUCUGUAUAUGCUUUCUACUUACUAGGAAAAAAUGCGUGAGAACGAUGGCCUAGAGGAUGUGAAUUGCACUCGAAUAUAUGCAGGUUUCUUGCCAAACUAACUGCCACUAUUAUAUUUCAGGUGCUUCUUCUGUAACUUAGUGUAUUUUCCUGGCUCUUCUCAUUUCCUGGCGAACUUUUUAGUAUGUACAGUUGAAUCGUUGGAAGUUGUUUUCUACUAUCUAUAGAGGUUUUAUCCAAACUAUUAGCUGCCUGACUUGCUUUUUCGAAAUACACCGUCCUGAUAGACAUUUCCAUGGGAUGUUAGAAAAAUAUAUGUGAAUUUGCAUACAUUUUAUAAAUUCCUAUCUUUACUUAUCCAUGCUUCCCCAUAGAUAAAUAGCAGGUUCAACAAAAAUGAAUGUUCUCUUUUGUUCAAAUUUCAAGAAAGUGUGCUUCACGCUUCUCUUUCUGCAAUAUGUUUCGGAGUGUAUGAUUUGAUUUUCCUACUUUCCCGGUUACAAUACUGUGUACUUCAUUCCUAGCUUUGCUUGAAAUAUGUAUGCAGGUUAUCGAAAGCUCCAUUUUUCUCCAUUAUAUAGAUUAUAUAGCUUUGUGAUCAAAGGUAGGUUGUCACACAGGGGAUUUGGCUUGUGAAAGUUAUAUACAUCCAUGAGUCCCUAACAAAAUAAUCGCAGCUCAUGUUAAAAGGAUCAGGGAACCUCGACCAUUUUUCUGAAACAUGUCUCGGCUCAUGUUCCGACUUUCUACACUACUAUGUACUUCAUUCUUACCUUUGCUUUUGGAAGUUACAUUCUUUCUUUUCCCUCAUAAACUUGCUAACGAUAUUGGCAAAGUAAUCCCCACUUCAUAUUUCCCAUAGAAUGAAUAACUAAUUUAGAUUGUUCAAAAAUUGUAGGUCAAGAGCCAUGAAUAGGAGCAGGGCAUCACACUCCAGCUCUGAGAAGGAAAGGAUAUGAAGACAAAGAUAUAUGAGUGUUGUGCUCCGACGCAAAAACAUUUUGCGUGUAAUAAUGAACUGUAAUUUACCACAAUCUCUCUACAACAGGCCUACCUAUUACCAGUCCGUUGCUUGCUUUUGUAUUAGGAAGUAUGACUCAGUCAUAUAUAUUUACAUUCACGUUGUUUA